UUCGGUAAUUGAGACCGGCGCACGGGUGCGUAACGCGUAAUACAAAUUCUACCUUUUACAGAGGGAUAGCCAGAGAAAUUUGAUUAAUACCUCAUAGUAUUUUUGAAUCGCAUGAUUUGAUUAUUAAAGUUCCAACGGUAAAAGAUGAGUAUGCGUCCCACUAGCUAGAUGGUAAGGUAACGGCUUACCAUGGCAACGAUGGGUAGGGGUCCUGAGAGGGAGAUCCCCCACACUGGUACUGAGACACGGACCAGACUCCUACGGGAGGCAGCAGUGAGGAAUAUUGGACAAUGGGCGCAAGCCUGAUCCAGCCAUGCCGCGUGCAGGAAGACGGUCCUAUGGAUUGUAAACUGCUUUUAUACAGGAAGAAACACUCGGACGUGUCCGAACUUGACGGUACUGUAUGAAUAAGCAUCGGCUAACUCCGUG
rnacentral:rRNA from 1 species